rnacentral:rRNA from 1 species
CAGCCGCCACGGGAAUACGAAGGGGGCUAGCGUUGCUCGGAAUGACUGGGCGUAAAGGGCGCGUAGGCGGAUUGUUUAGUUAGGCGUGAAAUUCCUGGGCAUAACCUGGGGACUGCGCUUAAUACAGGCAGUCUAGAGUGAGGAAGAGGGUUGUGGAAUUCCCAGUGUAGAGGUGAAAUUCGUAGAUAUUGGGAAGAACACCGGUGGCGAAGGCGGCAACCUGGUCCUUGACUGACGCUGAGGCGCGAAAGCGUGGGGAGCAAACAGGAUUAGAUACCCCAGUAGUCCCUGUCUCUUAUAC